GCUGGAGAACUAAAGAGGCUGAGUCUGACAAAGGAAGACUUUGCUGAUACAAUCGUCCUAGCAAAAGGGUUGGAGAGAGCGGGAAAGCUGUGAAGGAUGUUCUGAUUAUAGUGGGAGUACCUGUCCUGAGAGAUCCCCUCCAGGA